UUAUAUAGCCACCAUUUUUAAACCAUGACUUUGGGGGUCAAAAUGAAAUGAAAAGACAAGCAUGCCCUUACUAAUUAGUGAAUAAAAAUAAAACAAAAUUUAAAUCAAAUUUAACUUAAAAAAAUUGUAAUAAAACAAAAUAAAAAACUAGAAAAUUGUCCUUAAUAAUUAAAAAACACAAUGAAAAAUCGGAACUCUUCUUAAUUUUUCUUCCCAACUGCGACCUCUGUCUCUCCCGAAAUGAACGGUGAACGAGGACCUCUCUCCCGAACGGAGACUUCUUCUCCUUCCCCCUUGAGCAUGCGGCGGCACUCGGAUGCCCGAACGGAGAGUUCUUCUCCUUCCCCGUUGAGAGUACCGGAGAAGCAGCAGCAGCGUCGAUCCACAGCAACGGAGGCUCUGGUUUAGUCGGGAGAUCCAACAUCGAUGGCGACUCUCGUCGAUUCACGGAACAGCAGCAGCCGGAGCCAAGUGGCGCGGCAAUUCCGCCUGAGUCGGCAGAGAGCUAGGGGCCUAGGGCUCGUUCGACAGAGGGAACGAACGGCGACUGAUUUUCGCCGGGUUUUAGAGAAACCACGACAGCGCCGACUCCCCCAAUUUCAGUGUAGCAACGCCGGGCUUGAGAAGAGAUGAGUAGCCGAAUGGUUUUGGCGAGCGGGAUAAGAGAUAGAGAAGAGAGAUCGAGGGAUGGGAGGCCGCUGACUCAGAGGGCGGAGAAAAUUAACGGAGGCGGAAAUCUCGAAAGAGAAAAGCGGUGGUCACCGACGAGUUGAGCGACUCGACACUAUAGGCGAUGAAAUUAGAUGGAAAAAGCGGCUCUAAGAGCAUCUCCAGCGGGCGAGGCGAAGCCGCGUCGAUCCGCGUCGCUGGAGUGCCGCCGCGCUGGAGACCGGUCAGUUUCGAAGCCGAGGCGAAGUAGAGACACGGGGCGAAGGCGAGAGACGUUUGGCGCGUCCGGCGGACGCGUCCCCUUCAAAGAAAAAAAUUGAAAAAUGCGUUUAAAUUUUAUGUAGAAGAGUGAAUUUGGGUUGCUGUAUGGAGUUGUUGUAUCUAUGGAGUUGCUGUAUCUAUGGAGAAGAAGAGUUGCAGACGGUGGGGAUGGGGUUUGGGUUGGGGUAGGUGGGGCCCAUGGAGUGAUUGCAUUUAAAUUUUUUUAU
rnacentral:lncRNA from 1 species